GAUUGGUGGAAGCGCCAUUCACGUGACGGGAGUCGGGCGAGAAGAACGGGUAGACACGCGGUGCGGUCGUGAGCAUUAGCGAGGCGAAGGGAGGUGAGGAGAGUUCGGAGCAAAGGCCGACGUCACAAUUGCCCGUUCUUAGCGUUUCUAGGGGUUCCGCGGCAGUAAUUUAACUCGUUUCUUAACAUAACCACCGGCCAGAAGGAGAAGAAGGGGGGGGAAAAGAAUAACGGGCACGGUUACGAUUAGAGGGCGGAGAAAGUGUUAGUGCGCAAGCGUCGAGAUCAUCUUCUCUUCUUGGGUGGUGCGGCUAGAACUUUCUCGAAAUACCGGCGGCGGGGCAGGGGUGGUUCUGUAAGGAGGCGUAGAGGGGAGAGAAGAACCUACGGACUUGGCUUGACCAGGGGAUUCGAACAGGUACCGAAGCACGUUUAGGAGUCGGUCAUUCAUGUUACUCCCUUCCCGAGGGAAGGGCUUUGCUAUAAACCAGCCUCUCACGCUAUGCAGCUCCAUCAUCAACAGCUGAAGAAAAACACUGUUGUCCAGCUCUCCAGGAUACAAGGGUAACACUGUCAUGACCAAGUUUCUUUGCAAAUAUGCUUUUCAGAAUACAAAUAUAAAUUGGAUUACAUAAGAAAAGUCAA